CUGUAAACCAGCCUAAAACUCUCUCCAGGCAUAGGUAACACCAUGAUUGAUACCAUCUGGAAAACAUUUAUCCACGUCUUCAGUGGAAAGCUUCACAGAACAGAAAAUGUAAAAGGAGGCCCUCAAGAGGAGCUGUGUCUGCAUUCCAUGUUUUCAUCUGGAUGUGCAGCAUCUGCAGCCAGCUACAGCCUCACUCCUUGUUGUUAAUGCACAAGACUAAUUCAUCUCCUGCCCAGAGGAAUUGGAAAUGACAUUACAAAGAAAAAUUGCCCCCCAACUCAAGAAAAGUCUGUCUUGGACCAAUUUCAAAAAGUUCAGCUCCCUGCAGAAUGAUACAAUUUGACAUCACGAUUAAAGUAACCAGGGAGAAGAGUCAAAGAGGGAAUGAAAGGAAGAGACUCACGUUUCAAGCAGCAAAGAAAAACCAUUUAGUUGAUUCACAUGCAGAUGAAAGAGACCUUAGCCCCAGAAGCUAAUUACCUACAGCAUUAAUUCAGGAUGUGAGAGACAAAAGA